rnacentral:rRNA from 1 species
GAUUUCUGGUUUGGCGCGCUUGGCCCGCCAGGGUUACCUGGUUGUGUGCUGGUGCGCGCCUUCCAUCCUUCUGCAUGUCAGUUCUAUCCUUUACUGGUGUGAACUGGUAUGCAGAUCUUUUACUUUGAAAAAAUUAGAGUGUUUAAAGCAGGCUUGCGCUAUGAAUACAUUAGCAUGGAAUAAUAAUUUAGGACUUUGGUUCUAUUUUGUUGGUUUCUAGGACUAAAGUAAUGAUUGAUAGGGAUAGUUGGGGGUGCUAGUAUUCAGCGGCCAGAGGUGAAAUUCUUGGAUUCGCUGAAGACUAACUUAUGCGAAAGCAUU